CUGAGUAAAGCGGCGCACGGGUGAGUAACACGUGGGUAAUCUGCCCUGGAGUGGGGAAUAACACCGGGAAACCGGUGCUAAUACCGCAUACGAUAAUGAGGUCUGCGGACUUUGUUAUGAAAGGAGCAAUUCGCUCCAGGAGGAGCCCGCGGCUGAUUAGCUAGUUGGCGAGGUAAUGGCUCACCAAGGCUUCGAUCAGUAUCCGGUCUGAGAGGACGGUCGGACACACUGGAACUGAGACACGGUCCAGACUCCUACGGGAGGCAGCAGUGGGGAAUUUUUGGCAAUGGGGGAAACCCUGACCAAGCAACGCCGCGUGGGUGAUGAAGUAUCUCGGUACGUAAAACCCUUUCGACGGGGAAGAAAACCGCAAGGUUUGACGGUACCCGUAGAAGAAGCCCCGGCUAACUCCGUGCCAGCAGCCGCGGUAAUACGGGGGGGGCGAGCGUUGUUCGGAAUUAUUGGGCGUAAAGGGCGCGUAGGCGGUGUGGUAAGUCUGUUGUGAAACCUCCAGGCUCAACUUGGAGCUUGCAUCAGAAACUGCCGUGCUAGAGUGUGGGAGAGGAGAGUGGAAUUCCUGGUGUAGCGGUGAAAUGCGUAGAUAUCAGGAGGAACACCGGUGGCGAAAGCGGCUCUCUGGACCACAACUGACGCUGAGGCGCGAAAGCUAGGGGAGCAAACAGGAUUAGAUACCCUGGUAGUCCUAGCCUUAAACG
rnacentral:rRNA from 1 species